AAUAUCGCUUCACUGUAUCCCACCCUCCUUUAUUCCUUAAAACCCUAAUCUUCAAACAAUUCUCGCUUCUACGCUGUGGAUUGUGACUUAGUCUGCUCUCGAUCUUCCAAGGGACAAUGAGUCGAUCGAGUAGGACACUUUAUGUUGGCAAUCUUCCGGGCGAUAUUCGUGAGCGUGAAGUGGAAGAUCUGUUUUACAAGUACGGCCCAAUAGCACAUAUUGAGCUGAAAAUUCCACCAAGACCCCCUGGUUAUGCUUUUGUUGAGUUUGAAGAAGUUCGUGAUGCUGAAGAUGCUAUUCGUGGUCGUGAUGGCUAUGAUUUUGAUGGGCACCGUCUGAGGGUUGAGCUUGCACAUGGCGGUCGUGGUCAGUCGUCAAACGAUCGUUAUGGUGGUGGUGGUCGUGGUCAACGUGGUGGAGUGUCCAGACGUUCUGAUUAUCGAGUGAAAAUUACAGGAUUACCCCAUUCAGCGUCGUGGCAGGAUCUCAAGGAUCACAUGCGUCGAGCUGGGGAUGUUUGUUUCUCCCAAGUUUUCCGUGAACGGAGGGGGACUACUGGUAUUGUGGAUUAUACAAACUACGAUGACAUGAAAUAUGCUAUCAAAAAGCUUGAUGACUCUGAGUUUCGGAAUGCCUUUUCUCGUUCAACAAUUCGGGUUAAGGAAUAUGAUCACAGCCACAGCCGCAGCCGCAGCCGCAGCCGUUCUUACUCCAGAGGAAAGAGUGGUAGUAGAAGCCGUAGCCGAAGUAGAAGUGUCAGUCGUAGCAGGAGCAAAAGCAAAUCUCCUAAAGUUAAAUCUUCAAGGCGCUCAAGAUCUCGUUCAAGGUCCGUCUCUUCUCGGUCCCGUUCUGGGUCAAAAGGACGUUCUAUCCCAAGAUGUUGGAUAUAUGCGGCAGUUUGUGGAUUUGCAUAUUAGGAUCUUGAGUGGAUAUGCAUAUGGUCUUGCCUGCAACUCUUUUUGGUUGUGGAGAUUGGGAUCAUGAAGAUCAUGGAUUCUGUGGUGGAGCUGGACUGGGCAACUAACUGCCACCUGAAUUUGGAUCACCACCUAUUUGUGGUAGAUGCAUUUUCUACCAAAGUGAAGAAAGACUCUAGUUCAUUCUUUUCAUAUCCUGCUUAUUGGUCUCUUUGACUGCACAAAUUUAAACUAUUACUUAAGUCUUAACUGGGUAAAUUGCAUUGCUUCAUACAUGUCAUAUUUUCCACUCUGGAUUCUGCCCACAAUGCUACUUUGAUAAUGGUCAUGCUGAUGUGGAAGUGGAAUCGAGGCAGUUGGAGGAAUUGUUAAGUGGCAGGACUGGGAUAUUAAAUUAAGUUGUUUCUGGAAAUUUUGCAGAUCUCCAUCAAGGUCCAGAUCGCCAGCACCAUCUCGCCCAAAACGUUUGAGUAAAAGUCCAAAAAGACGCAGUCCCAGCCAAAGCCAGAGCAGGAGCCGGAGUCGUAGUCUGAGUAGAGGUUUAUCCAGUUAAGAUUGUUGGAGUCAUCUUUUGACUUGGGUUGCUGUGAUUGCGAGUGCCAUCAUGCCUGGAAGAUUAGCUGCAUAGUCAACAGUUGGGGAGUCUUAAGUGCCCGAAAGUUUGUUCUGCUUACAGUAAAGGAUUUCUGUAUUAUUGAAAGGCUGACGAUAAUAAUUGUUAUACUGAACUUGGUAUCUCUAAGACUUGGUAAAGACUGCAAUAUUAUAGUAGAACUUAAUAGGCUUUCUAGCUGCGUGAUGGUAAGAGAUGGAACGAAUUUCCUUUUUACAUUCACAUUAUGCAUUUCCUUGAUUUGCAGAU